rnacentral:ncRNA from 1 species
AUCAGAGGUGCGUGUGCUAUCAGUAGAGCUGUGGAAGUUUGGGAAGACUUGUGAAGCUGCUCCAAAGGAGUACACGCCGAAAGACCUGUUUUCCCGAGACAGUUCUUGGCUUGUGUCUUAAGAGGACACCGGCUGUCACCGGUUUUCCGGCGGAGCGCUGAUG